GCCAAGGAUGUUUUCAUUAAUCAAGAACGAAAGUUAGGGGAUCGAAGACGAUCAGAUACCGUCGUAGUCUUAACCAUAAACGAUGCCGACCAGCGAUUAGGAGACGUUGAAUACAAAACACCACCAUCGGUGCGGUCGUCCUUGGCGUCGGUCUUUCGGGGCCGGCGCGGGGACGGCUUAGCCCGGUGGCACCGGUGAAUGACUCCCUAGCAGCUGGGAGAA
rnacentral:rRNA from 1 species